rnacentral:rRNA from 1 species
CGUAGGGUGCGAGCGUUGUCCGGAAUUACUGGGCGUAAAGAGCUCGUAGGCGGUUUGUCACGUCGUCUGUGAAAUCCUAGGGCUUAACCCUGGACGUGCAGGCGAUACGGGCUGACUUGAGUACUACAGGGGAGACUGGAAUUUCUGGUGUAGCGGUGGAAUGCACAGAUAUCAGGAAGAACACCGAUGGCGAAGGCAGGUCUCUGGGUAGUAACUGACGCUGAGGAGCGAAAGCAUGGGUAGCGAACAGGAUU